UGAGCCACCACACCCAGUCUUCUACAUGGUUUUUCUGAAAGCUCUGAUUACAUGCUGAAUUUACAAAUGGUGGAAAACAAGGAGUAAUGGUUAAUAAGCUGAAUGGUACAGUACAAAUUACACAAGGAACAAUACAUGAAUUAGAAAUUUAAAAUUUAGUUGAAAUAUAAAAUAAAUUAUUGCCAGAAACACAAAGGGCACAUGAAUACAAUAGGGGAAACAGCUUAAUGGCUUUCUGUUCUCUGAAAACUCAAGGCCCAUCUCUGAGUGAUAAGAGUACCCUAACAGGCAAAGCCCUCUGAGGCUUCAUCUCAAAAACGAACAAAAAACCCACUGCCAUUAAAAGCUUUAUUUUAUUUACUUAUUUUUUAGAGACAGGGUCUUGCUAUGUUACCCAGGCUGGCCUUGAACUUCUGGGCUCCAGCCAUCCUCCUGCCUCAGCCUCCUGAGUAGCUGGAACACAGAUGUGCACCACCACCACACGCAGGAAGAGCUUUAUUUUAGAAAGUACUCUUCCUACAUGUGAAGUCUCCAAGAAUAAAGAAAAGAAAGUACUCGUCUUUGGCAAACAGUGGAGAUCUUCUGAACCUUUUUUGAGAUGGAGUUUCACUCAUCGCCCUGGCUGGAGUAGCAAUAGCACAAUCUUGGCUCACUGCAACCUCUGCCUCCCGGGUUCAAGCAAUUCUGCUGCCUUAGCCUCCUGAGUAGCUGGAAUUACAGGUGCCUGCCACCAGGCCCGGCUAAUUUUUUUUUUUUUUUUUAGUAGAGAUGGGGUUUCACCAUGUUGACCAGGUUGGUCUUGAACUACUGACCUCAGGUGAUCCACCUGCCUCAGCCUUCCAAAGUGCUGGGAUUACAGGCAUGAGCCACCGUGCCCGACCGAGUUCUUUUUUUAAUGAAAAGAAUUUGACAUUCCUGCAGUAGAUAUAAGGCAGCAGAAACAGGAACUGUGCAGGCAUGUGUAACAAGAAUGCAGAUGCCAUUUAUU
rnacentral:lncRNA from 10 species